rnacentral:rRNA from 1 species
GGCCUAACACAUGCAAGUCGAACGGUAACAGGAAACAGCUUGCUGUUUCGCUGACGAGUGGCGGACGGGUGAGUAAUGUCUGGGAAACUGCCUGAUGGAGGGGGAUAACUACUGGAAACGGUAGCUAAUACCGCAUAACGUCACAAGACCAAAGAGGGGGACCUUCGGGCCUCUUGCCAUCAGAUGUGCCCAGAUGGGAUUAGCUAGUAGGUGGGGUAACGGCUCACCUAGGCGACGAUCCCUAGCUGGUCUGAGAGGAUGACCAGCCACACUGGAACUGAGACACGGUCCAGACUCCUACGGGAGGCAGCAGAAGGG